rnacentral:rRNA from 1 species
UGAACGCUGGCGGCGUAGCCUAACACAUGCAAAGUCGAACGAAGCACUGCAGAUGGAGAUUACGUCAAAAUCUGCUUGACUAGUGGCGGACGGGUGAGUAAUGUGUGAGCAACCUGCCUUUCAGAGGGGGACAACAGUUGGAAACGACUGCUAAUACCGCAUAAUGGUAUUGGAAAGGGGCAUCCUUUUUGAUACCAAAAGGAGCAAUCCGCUGAAAAGAUGGGCUCACAUCUGAUUAGCUAGUUGGUGGGGUAACGGCCUACCAAGGCUGCGAUCAGUAGCCGGACUGAGAGGUUGAACGGCCACAUUGGGACUGAGAUACGGCCCAGACUCCUACGGGAGGCAGCAGUGGGGAAUAUUGGGCAAUGGGCGAAAGCCCUGACCCAGCAACGCCGCGUGAAGGAAGAAGGUCUUCGGAUUGUAAACUUCUUUUAUGAGGGACGAAGGACGUGACGGUACCUCAUGAAUAAGCCACGGCUAACUACGUGCCAGCCGCAGC